rnacentral:rRNA from 1 species
CCCUAUGAAUUUAUUAAAUUUUUAUUUAAUAUGUAAUUACUAUUAGAAAAAUUUGGCUGGGGCGCUAGAAAAUAUUAUAAACUUUUUAAAAAUAAAAUGAUCCAUUAUUGAAGAUUUUAUGUUAAAUACUCUAGGGAUAACAGCGUUAUAUUUUUUGAUAGAUCAUAUUGACAAAAAAGUUUGCGACCUCGAUGUUGGACU